rnacentral:ncRNA from 1 species
UAAUUGUGCAUCAGUAGGUAUUCUGAUUAAUCUGUACAGUUAAUGCGAUAAACCUUUAAACCUGUGUAAAGCAACACAUAUAUUUAAUAAAGCAAAUGUAUCAAUGCUUCAUUAAUCCUAUUCACCAGUAAAACUGUGGUAAUUCUGUGCUAAUACAUGCGAGAAGCGCCGACCUCGCGGGAGGCGUGCAUUUAUCAGACCAAAAACCGGCCGCGUCUUCGGGCGCGUUCGCCUUGGUGACUCUGGAUAACUUUGCGGAUCGCACGGUCUAGCACCGGCGACGGAUCAUUCAAGUGUCUGCCCUAUCAACUUUCGUCGGUACGGUAUUUGCCUACCGAGGUUCUUACGGGUGACGGGGAAUCAGGGUUCGAUUCCGGAGAGGGAGCCUGAGAAACGGCUACCACAUCCAAGGAAGGCAGCAGGCGCGCAAAUUACCCAUUCCCGACGCGGGGAGGUAGUGACGAAAAAUAACAAUGCAGGACUCGUUCGAGGCCCUGUAAUUGGAAUGAGUACACUUUAAAAGCUUUAACGAGUAUCCAUUGGAGGGCAAGUCUGGUGCCAGCAGCCGCGGUAAUUCCAGCUCCAAAAGUAUAUAUUUAAGUUGUUGCGGUUAAAAAGCUCGUAGUUGGAUUUUGGGCGCAGGCGGCCGGUCCGUCGCAAGGCGUGUACUGGACGUCCUGGCCUUCCCUCCGGUUCUCCGCCGGUGCUCUUGACUGAGUGUCGGCGGCGGCCGGAACGUUUACUUUGAAAAAAUUAGAGUGUUCAAAGCAGGCUCUCGAGCCUGGAUAAUGGUGCAUGGAAUAAUGGAAU